rnacentral:rRNA from 1 species
UACCAGCACCCCGAGUGGUCGGGACGUUUAUUGGGCCUAAAGCAUCCGUAGCCGGUUCUACAAGUCUUCCGUUAAAUCCAGCUGCUUAACAGAUGGGCUGCGGAAGAUACUAUGGAGCUAGGAGGCGGGAGAGGCAAGCGGUACUCGAUGGGUAGGGGUAAAAUCCGUUGAUCCAUUGAAGACCACCAGUGGCGAAGGCGGCUUGCCAGAACGCGCUCGACGGUGAGGGACUGAAAGCUGGGGGAGCAACCGG